GUCGCUAUAGCCAAGCGGUUACGGCGUUUGAUUAGAAUACUCUCUACUAUCAAAUCCUCUUUGAGGGCGUAGGUUCGAGUCCUACUGGCGACG
rfam:Botryobasidium botryosum FD-172 SS1 unplaced genomic scaffold BOTBOscaffold_33, whole genome shotgun sequence.